GACGAACGCUGGCGGCGUGCUUAACACAUGCAAGUCGAACGGAAAGGCCCUGCUUUUGUGGGGUGCUCGAGUGGCGAACGGGUGAGUAACACGUGAGUAACCUGCCCUUGACUUUGGGAUAAAUUCAGGAAACUGGGGCUAAUACCGGAUAGGAGCUCCUGCUGCAUGGUGGGGGUUGGAAAGUUUCGGCGGUUGGGGAUGGACUCGCGGCUUAUCAGCUUGUUGGUGGGGUAGUGGCUUACCAAGGCUUUGACGGGUAGCCGGCCUGAGAGGGUGACCGGCCACAUUGGGACUGAGAUACGGCCCAGACUCCUACGGGAGGCAGCGGUGGGGAAUAUUGCACAAUGGGCGGAAGCCUGAUGCAGCAACGCCGCGUGCGGGAUAACGGCCUUCGGGUUGUAAACCGCUUUCGCCUGUGACGAAGCGUGAGUGACGGUAAUUAGUAAGGAAGCACCGGCUAACUACGUG
rnacentral:rRNA from 1 species